GGCUGGAUAGUUCAGUGGUAGAAUACGUGCUUUGGGUAAUAUCAACGCUUGUACGUGGUCUUGGGUUCGAUCCCCAAUUCAGCCC
rnacentral:tRNA from 1 species